rfam:Schistosoma margrebowiei strain Zambia genome assembly, scaffold: SMRZ_contig0001867
AUCCAGCUGACGAGUCCCAAGGAGAAUGGAACGCACGUCCUGGAU